CAAUACUCGCAACACCUUGUAGCUAGUACUCCUGCGGUCUCCUCCAUGGGUGGGAACUGUCGGUCUCCAUGGCAUCUCCUUGGAGACUCUGACGUCAAUGGCCUGGAAUAUUCCCAUAUCCCAGUUCCAGUAGCUCAGUUCCUUUGAAGAUCAAGAAGAAGCAACGUGUCUUGCUGGAAGAGAAGCUGUGCAAGCCUUCCACUGUGUUGCAAAACCAGCGCAGCGGAGCAGCGCGAGCAUUCUCCAACCAUGGAAGGAUAGAGCUGGAUCGUCUGAGGCAGUAGGCUGCAGGAGCUAUUGUAAGUUGAAACCGUACAUCUGUAGCUUGUUUUUGCAUGUUUUGUUGCAGCUAGCUAGCUAUAUAGAUUAGAUUGUUCACUCUGGAGUUUGAGCGUAUUGGCGUUGCGCGCUGUUUGUUGAGAGUAUGGAAGGUUUCUGUUUGGUAAUUAUUUUGCUCUUGUAUUCUUGUGUUAAAGUGUGGCCCCUUCUUGACUGUGAGGUGUGUAGGUCAUGCAGCUUAAUAGAUACAUACUUGCCAGCAAAGCACACGUUAAAUGCAUGUAUGCAUGGCUAAACUCGUGUCGGCAACGCUUUUUAGGUACUGUUAUAUACGCGUGGCUAAGAGUCUAUUACCUGCAUGGCCUUGAACCCUUUGGUGGUGGGGGAGGGGGGGUGGUAUUCGUAGCACUCAAGUAAUCAAUCAGAAUGUGUGUGGACGGUUCUUCAACAGUCGGGUCGCAGGACAGCAUCUUCUUGUUCUUGGAGCCGUUGUCGAACCAGCCUUCGGGGUGCAAUGAUGGAUUUCUCACGGCACUCCAGUCUACCGGAGGGAGCACUCUGCUGUUAGUACCUGCCUAAUGGGAAAGCAGCACAGGGUAUGUUCCCCCGGGAGCAUAUCCUGCCAUAAUAGGGAGUGUUGAGAUCUCGUUACAGUUCCAAUAGUUAGUUAGCUAGGAUCUUUAGACAUCAUAGUUAGUCGACUGCUGGUUUUUAGCUAUGCGGCUUGGAUAUAGUUAUAUUAUGAUGCCUUUUUUCAGUCAAGGAUGGAAUUGGUAAGUUCAGGCUUUAACUAAACCCUAGGUGUGCCAAGGGAACUGUAGCCUUUGACUGGAUUAGUAAAGAGUAGUCUUGAGCACUUGUGCAAGCCUUGCGUGCCAGGCUUGUUGCAACUGGAGUCGACAAGGGCUUCAAGAGCAAGGAGGUGUUGUCUCUGUGAGUCUACUGUUGUUGAACCAUCCCACACAUUCUGGUUGAUUAUUUCUCUGCUCGUUAAUGGUACUCACAGUCACAGGGUCCCUUUAGUUUAUUAUGCCCUUAUUGUAUUAGUCCCUUGAGCAAGGAAACUACUGGUGGUAAUGUUCUCAAUGGUGGUGGUGAUGUUGUCAGUUCUGGUGGUAAUUGGUUGGUAUUAUGUUUUCUACGGUUGUGGAGAUUUGUUGAUGAUCGGUUUUGUUUAAACUGCUGCGCUCAAUGUAACCAUGCAUUUGCUUGUUCUCUUGCAGCCACAAUGCACACACACACAGCUCCUCCUACUAGCUACUGUACUAGUGUUCCAUUCUCUCACUGCUUUUGUCUCCUCUGUCCCCCAGGUACAAACAAGCCACGCUACCAAGGAGGAUUACUAACUUGAUCCAAUGACUGCAUAUCUGAUAUUGAAGGGGGUGGGGCUUAAUUGUAUCUACGUCUUGGGGGAGGGGCUCGGAUCUCAACGCUUACUAUACUUACUAGUAUACUAUCAUUGUACAUGCUUAAUCAUUAGUUAUUGUCUCAAUUAUGGCAAGUCUUGCUAUGUGGUGUAGUGGUAUACAUUCUAUGUAGGUGGAUUGUCACUGCAUGGAGAAAAGAUGAGUAUAAUAAUUAUAUGGCUACAUGUACAGUAUGUGUCGUACGUAUAGGUUGGUUGUGUGUGGAGAAGCUAGCUAUGUUAUGUGGCAAGUCUUUCAUGCUCUCUGUGUAGGUUGAUUGUAUGUGGAGGAGCCACUGUAACAGCAUACACACAGAUGAGUAGCUAGCUAUGUUGUGUGACAAGUCUUCAUGUUCCCAAUGUAGGUUGAUCGUGUGGAAGAGUCACUAAUUCAACUGUAACAGAUGAGUAGCUUAUGUCAUGUGACAAACCUUUUUAUGCUCUCUGUUUAGGUUGAUUGCGUAUGGAUAAGCCUUUGUAACUGGAGAGAGUUUCACACUAACAAGCAAUUAACUCUGGCAUGCCUGUAGCAACAAGCUCAAAGAUCGAGUUAGAGCAUCCAGAAUUAUGGCAUGAGGGUCAUCCUGGGCAAGCCUCCUAGGACUCCAAGUUCACCUCUGCAUAGCGAGCUAGGAUGGACUACUCUAGAACAGCGUUGAGAAGAGCUUAUGCUGGUACAAGUCCACUGCAGCAUCAUUAAAACUGCACCUAAGACUUAGGCUAAGUACUUGCAAGAACUAUUCACAAAGAACUCUGAACACAGUAGCAGACAAGCACAAGUAACAACUCGUGGACAAGAUAACUCCACCUUCCAAGACCAUCCACUGAGCUACUCAGGAAAAGUUUCAGUUUUCAAGGAGCUCUCAAGUACAAUGCGCUUCCUCAAGAACUAAGAAAACAAAAACAGUACCAGCGUUCAAGAACAGUAUACACAAACUGUUCUCCAACUGCAACUAAGCCAUUAUUUUUUCUACUUUCUUGUCUUUUGUUCAUGUCUGCAUAGUAUACAGGACCUUCAUUAAAACCCACACUGUGGAUGCAGCAUUUCCUGCCCAAAUGUGGUCAGUCUCAAUAACAAUUCAUGUUUUUAUCACUUAAUAACAGUUACAGAAACUCAUUCUUUCUCAAGUUUGUUGAUUCACCCAUGUUCUUCUGUGACA